UAAAAUAGAGCCCGCGCCUAAAAAGCCCUUUCAUCUCUUCCCCCCUCUCUCUAUAGCACCAAUCUCUCUCCUUUUCCUCUCCAAUCUCUUUGUACCCAGUUAGUACGGAAUCCUCUUGAAUCCCUCAACAAGAAUCCCCUUUUCCUCUCCAAAACUAAAAUUCACAAAACCCUAAUCUUUCAUUUAUGAAAAAUCUAGAUCCCUUCAAUCUCAAAUCCUCGUUCUCCCUCUAUCUCCCCUAGACUCCUUGAUUUUACAUUCUUUGAAUAUUUAAGGGACAACCUACAUCAAGUUGACGAGAGACUAGCAGUGGUAAUCGAAAAACAAAAGCAAUCUUCAGAUAUGGAGAUGAGUAGACUUGAUGCAAGGAUCAUGCAGAAACUUGAUGUCAUGCAGCAAUUGGAACGUGAGCUUGAGGCCAAGUCUACCUUUGAUUAUUGAGAAGUUACGUUACUCCUCAUGAAGAAGUUCUUGUGGGCACGUUUGGAGGAUUUAGCAGGCAAAGAUGCCAAAGAGAAAUCUAAUGUUGCUAUAAAAGACCUUUUUGUGGAGCUUGCACUUGAGGCCAAAAGCAAUGUCAACAAAGGAGGUGAUGAUUCAGAACAGAUAUAGGCAAUGUCAAAGAAAAAGAAGAAGAAGGAUUACAGAAGAGCUAAGAAUCCAAAGGGCGUUGGUCAUGACAAAGAUACUCUCACGCAUCAGGAAACUGAAGAACAAGUGGACGCCUUUCUCUCUCUGUAUACAGAAUGAUCUUUUAGUUGUCAUUAUA